rnacentral:rRNA from 1 species
AGCGAACGCUGGCGGCAGGCCUAACACAUGCAAGUCGAACGAAGUCUUCGGACUUAGUGGCGGACGGGUGAGUAACACGUGGGAACGUGCCUUUAGGUUCGGAAUAACUCAGGGAAACUUGUGCUAAUACCGAAUGUGCCCUUCGGGGGAAAGAUUUAUCGCCUUUAGAGCGGCCCGCGUCUGAUUAGCUAGUUGGUGAGGUAAUGGCUCACCAAGGCUACGAUCAGUAGCUGGUCUGAGAGGAUGACCAGCCACAUUGGGACUGAGACACGGCCCAAACUCCUACGGGAGGCAGCAGUGGGGAAUCUUGCGCAAUGGGCGAAAGCCUGACGCAGCCAUGCCGCGUGGAUGAUGAAGGUCUUAGGAUUGUAAAAUCCUUUCACCGGUGAAGAUAAUGACUGUAGCCGGAGAAGAAGCCCCGGCUAACUUCGUGCCAGCCGCCGCGUAAAAC